AACUAGUUCUAUCUGACAACUGUCAAUAGGGACCAAAAAGAGGUGUGUUUGUUUCAUAGCUCUGUCUCUCUGAAGGGCUUAAGCCACCACCUGGGAACCUUCUACUUGGAACCCAAGCCGGCAGGCAGGGCAGAGAAGGUAGAAAAAGAUGAGAGGACAGUGGGGGGACGAUGGGCAAAGAAGACCAAAGCAAAAGAGCUGCACUUACAAAAGAGCUGGACAGGUCCUCCCAGUCGUGUAACUGAGGAGCUGGAGUGUGGUACCAAACAGGGGAACCAUUCUUGGAAGUGUAGUGUCAGGAGCACUGGCGUGGGCCAGUGCCUGAGCUAAAUCUUGACUCUGACACAUGCCAGCUGCCUGACCUUCGGUAAGUUUCCUCAUCUGUACAAUGAGGAUGAUAAAAUUAACUUCAUCUUGGGUGCUUACAAGAAAAUAAAUGUACAUAAAGUACACAGUGCCAGAUGUGUCUGGUUUUUACUAUGGCUUUAAGCAAAGACACAUACACACACACACACACACACACACCCUUCUAGUACAAAGUUCAGUUGACACCCAUAGAUGCAAUUAACAAAUGAGGUUUUAGGGUCCUUGGAAAAUCUGGGAUAGUUACCAUGCUGCCUUUUACACACAGCAGCGUAGGAAUAUAUAUAUUUAUUAGCAUGCUGACAUCAAAAGCUGUUCACUCUAUAGUAAACCUUCAAAAGUAGAGUGAAAAUCAGAUUGUACCAUAUGAUCCUAUUUUUUUUAAAUAUACACAUAAUGCAUAUAAGAAAAGAAUUCUGGAGGUAUCAACACAAAAGAUGAUGUAACAGUGAUUAUCAGAGUGAUUUUAAUGAGUAUCUUUCGCUUUGCUCUUUUUUUUUCUAAUUUUUUUCAACAAUAAUUGUGCAAUAUUUGUAUAAUCUGGGGGCAGGGGAGCAGAUGUAGAAAUACUUAUCUAUGGAAAAUGAUUCUUUUUGAUGGCUUUAACCUGUCCCAACCAGGCUGGCUUGCAGAGUUCCCGCCUCAGCAUUGGUGGAGGAAGGGACCUCCCUUGGGCUCCCCCACCCCCCACCCCCCCAGCUGUGAGUUGUGCGGGACUCAUAGCUCUGGCUGCUGAGCUUGUUAUGAACAGGUGAGGCAGUGCUGCUGGCUGGCUGUCGUGUUCUGUGUCUUCCUGCGCCUCUACUGCUACUGGUUUCACGUGUUGGCCUUUCCCUCUGACAUUUUCUUUAUUUUUUUUUUAAUCACCUGCCAAUGCCUCUGACAUUUUAAGCAAAGGGUAAACCUUUAAACUUCCAUCAUUGAAACCUGAGACAAAUAGACACAGAGCCCAGAACUCCAAGGUAGAGCCUGGGGAGGUCUGAGGCCUGAGGGAAGGUGAAAGAGCCCCUGGGAGCCAAGACCUGACACUCAAGUCCCAGCUUUUCCUGCAGCCAGCCGUGUGUCCAGCUCUGUGUUCCUGGGCAGCCAGGAGAGUCAACUUCCUCAUCUGCAAAGCGAUGAGGUUGGGCUAAAUCCUCCCUGAGGUCUCUUCCAACUCUAAAAUUGUGAGUCUAACAAUAUCACAUUAUUAAUAUAAUAUAAUAUACAGGGUAAUGUAAUAUAAUAUAGUGAUAUAUGAUAUAAUAUAUCAUUAUAUAAACAGUAAUAUUAUAUAACAUAAAAUGAUUAUCAUACUUUAGCAAAAAUAAUGAGAAACAGAAGAAAAUGUUCCAGCCAUGUUGAUUUAGAUAUUAGACCCUCAAUGGAAGUUUAUACACUAACAGGAGAGGAAAAAGUUAGUAUGAGUUUGCAUGCAGUAUCCAAAGAAUUAAUGCAAACAUGGUUUGGGACCUAGAUGAACAGAAAAUUUCCUUGCGACUUUUCCAUUUGUGGAGCAGAGAACAUAAUUCAUGUCUGUUUAACUCACCUCAUGAGUGCUUAGUGGACAACCACACAGGAGGGGGUCCCAUUUUUUAAAAAUGUGUUCUGAUAAUAAGCAUGAUAAUAGUGACCGCCAGGGCUUAGAAACAGAGAGCCCACUUCUGGUCAGUACCUGGGCCCUGGACAGGUCACAUUGCCUUCUAGAGGCUCCCCUCUCCCACAGCCUCACAGGGUCAUCUUGAGCCUCAGAUGCAAGCCUGGGGAAGUAGCAAAAAGGGAGUUUGGAGCCAGGAGAGCUAAGUACAAUCCCAUUCUGCCCAGCAUGCAUUAGGUGUGAGUAGAUGAGGCACUUAGCCUUCCUAAGCCUUAGCUUCUUUACCUGCAGAAUGGGCCAAAUAACAAUAACCCGCACCAUUGUUUCGAUGUCAUGGGAGACAACACACACAAAGACUUUGAUCAUUUAUAGAAUGCUGAGCACAUACUAGCAAUUUCACCAUAAGACAUGGAAAAGCACUUUAGACACCUUUAAAGCGCUAGACGAAUGAAUCGUGAGAUGGUGAUAAUGAGCAUUGAGUCAUUGAAGAAAUAGAGUUCAGGCGUUCCCGUCGUGGCUGUGGUUAACGAAUCCGACUGGAAACCAUGGGGUUGCGGGUUCCGUCCCUCACCUUUCUCAGAGGGUUGUGGGUACGGUGUUGCCGUGAGCUGUGGUGUAGGUCACAGAUGCGGCUCGGAUCCCACGUUGCUGUGGCUCUGGCGUAGGCUGGCGGCUACAGCUCCGAUUCGACCCCUAGCCUGGGAACCUCCAUGUGCCGCAGGAUUGGCCCAAGAAAAUGGCAAAAA
rnacentral:lncRNA from 1 species